rnacentral:rRNA from 1 species
AGAGCGAACGCUGGCGGCAGGCCUAACACAUGCAAGUCGAACGGACCCUUCGGGGUUAGUGGCGGACGGGUGAGUAACACGUGGGAACGUGCCUUUUGGUUCGGAAUAGCUCCUGGAAACGGGUGGUAAUGCCGAAUGUGCCCUUCGGGGGAAAGAUUUAUCGCCAUUAGAGCGGCCCGCGUCUGAUUAGCUAGUUGGUGAGGUAAAGGCUCACCAAGGCUACGAUCAGUAGCUGGUCUGAGAGGAUGAUCAGCCACACUGGGACUGAGACACGGCCCAGACUCCUACGGGAGGCAGCAGUAGGGAAUAUUGGACAAUGGGCGAAAGCCUGAUCCAGCAAUGCCGCGUGAGUGAUGAAGGCCUUAGGGUUGUAAAGCUCUUUUACCCGAGAUGAUAAUGACAGUAUCGGAGAAUAAGCCCCGGCUAACUCCGUGCCAGCAGCCGC